CUCGGCGCGGUUCGGAUGCGUUCGGCUCCGUUCGGGUCCGCUCGGGUCGGUUCGGAUCCGUUCGGCUCCGCUCGGCAGCGGCCACGUGCCGUCGCCUCCCUGGGCCGCGCCCGGGUGCUUCAAGGCCUGGGUGAAAGGGGGGCGGGAAGGCGUCGGUGCCCGGCAGCCUCACCGUUACUGAGGCGUUUUCUCCGUCCCUGGGGGGCAUUUUUGCCAUCACUGGGGUAUUUUCAUCAUCUUCACCAGCACUGUGGGGCCGGACACCGAGCGCCCUUUCUGAGACUGUUAGGGCAUUGGUGUGGCGUAAAUUGUGUCAUUUGUAAGGAAAUGUAUUGUUAGGGCAGAGCUGAAGUGGGAAUCAGGUGUCUAUCAUUCAUCAUCCUGCUGUCAUGAAGAAUGUUUAUGGCUGUGAAAUAGCCGUUCUUCCGUUAUUUUGGUGAAUAGGGCAAGCAGUGGACAAGCACCUUGUACUAGGUGCUGUACAAGCAGAGAACAAAAGAUGCGCUGUGCCCCCAAAGACCUUACGGUCUCACAGACACAGCCCUACAGGUGUUGUAACACAAUUUGGUUCUGGAAUCUGGAAUCUAUCUAUUAAAAAAUAAAUAAAAAGCAAUAACAGUCCAGCAUUGGAUGGGAAGCACCACAGUGCCCUCCAGCCUCCCAGGCUGCCAAUCUGAAAUUCAUAAUUGGGAAUUAUUUGGCCAGAGCCUGCCGGGACACCUGUGCCCAAUGUGCUUUGGGGUGCACAGGAGGAAACCCUUUUUCUGCGAUGACUGCGACGACCGCAGCACCACGCUUGUGUCAAGUUGGGCAGAAAUCCAGUCAGCUUUGCUCACCUGGUCACACGUUGGGCUGCUUGUGGUGCCAGCCAUGCACACACGCACGCUCAGCUUCGGAACACACUUUAAAUCGGGUUCUCCCCUAUGCCAUCCUCCUCCUCCAAAAGUGGUCCUGCUAUUUUCAACAGAAAUAAAAUCGUGAUUUUUCAGCACAUACAGCUGCAGCAUGGGCAUGUCUUUGAGAUGAAAACCUCAAGCAAACUGCGCUACGCGUGCAAUGUGCAAAAUUAAAGAGCUAUAACUUGGGCAAAAUAAAGAUAAUUUCUAUGGUAAUGUGCAAAGGUACUUCAUGAUGAAAUCAAUUUCCUUGUAAACGCUGUGUGCCCCUGCUUUUAUCUAUAGACCUGCUCAAAGGAGGUUGAUAGGAAUGGUGCGAAGUUUUUAUUUACUGGGAAUCCAGAGCUGAACAACAUACAGGUCAUAAAUGCCACUUGAACAGCUUGAGUCUGUCUUUGGACCAAGAAGCGAUUAAAAAUGUUUUGUUGGAACUUCAUCACGAGAAAGUAAAUCUGCCUGGGUAUAAACAUACCUGGCUCAAAAAGGAGAUGUUUCGGCAAUUCACUGGGGUCCUGAUCCUUGGCAGUGUCUCCUCCGUGAGGCCACUAAUAAUAAAAAAAUAAAUAAAUGCAAUGCGUGCUGUCCAACAUAUAUUUUGUGUCUACAUUCAUGUAAAGUCUUUUUCUUCCUUUUGUUUCACUCGUGAAGUCUAAACUGUAAUUUUCAACAGCAGAAGAAAUGAUUUUCUCCUGACGCGUCCUUCCCUGACGGUAGGAAACGACUUUCCCCUGCGUCCCAUCUCUUCCGCGCUCGUUCCUCCUCUCCGUUUGCACUGGGCUUCGUGCCUCCCCUUCUUCCACUGCUAGUUUAUGGUGCUUGAGACAGACAGAUGGACAGAGUGGAGCACACGACUGCACGCACACACACACGUUUUUCCCUCUGGAGAGCAAUGCAGAAUGCCACCAGCAUACCUGCGCGCUGUUUAAAACGCCGCUUAAGUGGAAACUUCAGGAAGUGUGGCAGUGGGGAUGAAACAGCGCGGUUAAAACAGCCGCUGACCCUGGUCUCUCAAAACACAUAUCUGCCCAAGGCAAAUAUCCUAAUACUCAGCCAUAUUUUAAUUUUAACAGCAGCCUUCCCGCUGCUUUCUGGGGCCACCACUGGGGAGAAAGAGGCCUCACUAUUUUCCUUGCCUCAGUGCUCGUACUCCUCAUAGGCCUGGCUAGACUUUAUUUUGGCUUGUGCACCACUUUCGGGGCAGGCUGACCUCUUUACCAGACGCUAGCUUGUCGUAACCUGUAAGCAUCCAACGUCCUGUUUUACAGGCGCAAGGGAGUCGUCGAUGUUUCUCCUCCCGCCCUCUCUGUCAGCAUUGUCUCUGCAGGACAAAUUUCGGCAGCCACCGAGCGCUGCCCCUGUGCCUGUGUCUGCAUGUACACCGCCUCCUUUUCUCCAGGGGCUCACCAUUUUGCUGACUGACCAUCUUCAGGCUCUGUUUUGGGAUGAACAGCAUUGUUGUGGGCAGCGUUCAAAAGGCAAAACCACGCCGAGCCUUCACGAUGGGAAUCUCGCUGUCGUACCAAACGUCCACAGGCUCAUGCUCGCCUCCCCUUUUGCAUCUCCGAACGUGAUGAACGAGACCAAGGAGCCACCUCGGCGGCGAGCGCAGCAGCGAGCGGCAAGAAUGCCACCAACUGAAUCGGGAGUGGGAUCAGAGCUCCACCCGAUGCAAAGGGCAGAAAGGAUCACCCCCUGUCCCAUCCCAUGCUUGCUGCACUGAGCAUGGUGGGUUUCCACAUGGCACAUGCUGGAUGCACAGGACCCCAACAGAGCAUCCUCCUGAGGUUGUUUUUAACCUCAGGUAUACAAUCAUUUAUUUAAAAUAGGCUUCAAAAUAAACUUCUUGUUUCUCUGUGCAUUUGCAGUUGAUUGAGGUGGAUAUAGGAAAAAUAAGGUUAUUUGUUCUAGUUUAACACAACACGUAAUAGAACCCAAAAUAAAGUCAAUGGUGGCC